GGCCGCAGCAGCACAGCCCCGGGGCUGAGCAGCGGUGGCCUCCUGGCAGCGCAGGGAAGCGGCGGCUCCAAGAGCGCGAGGCCCUGGGGAGAUCCGGCCAAGACUGCUGCCGGGAUGGAGGAAGCGUCCAGUGGAGCAGGAGUCACCGGGGACGAAUUUCCUCCCCAGCUCAGCUCCCCUACAGCUUGGCUAGGCCUGCUCCGAGCGCCUGCAAGGUGGAGGAGGCCUGCGCCUCGGGCCUGGCAGCGGCAGCCGGCGAGAGAGGCGGGCACAGCGGGGUAACCGGCGAGCCGUAGCCGCUCUCGAAAACCUACGCUACCACGGCCGCUCAUUGUCUCUCCCCUUCCACCCGGGGGCAAACAGGAAGCGCGCCGCCUGGCAGACCGACGGACAGGCGCCUGGACCAAUGAGCACAGCCGACAGAGAGCACGGCAGCGAAUGAGGGCCAAGAAGAGGGGCGGGAGUUCCGGGCGGGCUGUCACCCUCUUCCCCCCUUUUGGGCUGGAGGCUCCACCUUUUGUGUUUCCCGCACAGUCAAUCAAAAUAGGAAAAAAAAAAUCCCCGGACCGCUCCGGCCGUGUCCGCCGCCGCUUCCCGCAUCCUCUCCCGCCGCCGCCGCCUUCGCUCCUCACCAUGUGUAAGGCGGCGGGGAGCCCCGCCUGAGGUGCCCUAAACACACUAUGACCGCUCCCGAAAAGCCCGUGAAACAAGAGGAAAUGGCUGCCUUGGACGUGGAUAGCGUCGGCGGCGGUGGCGGCGGCGGCGGCCACGGCGAGUAUCUGCAGCAGCAGCAACAGCACGGAAACGGUGCGGUGGCGGCGGCGGCGGCGGCCCAGGACACUCAGCCGUCACCGCUCGCUCUGCUGGCCGCUACCUGCAGCAAGAUAGGGCCGCCAUCGCCGGGCGACGACGAGGAGGAGGCGGCCGCCGCAGCCGGGGCCCCCGCCGCCGCCGGAGCGACAGGUGAUUUGGCUUCUGCACAGUUAGGAGGAGCACCAAACCGAUGGGAGGUUUUGUCAGCCACACCUACAACUAUAAAAGAUGAAGCUGGUAAUCUAGUCCAGAUUCCAAGUGCUGCUACUUCAAGUGGGCAGUAUGUUCUUCCCCUUCAGAAUUUGCAGAAUCAACAAAUAUUUUCCGUUGCACCAGGAUCAGAUUCAUCAAAUGGUACAGUGUCCAAUGUUCAAUAUCAAGUGAUACCACAGAUCCAGUCAGCAGAUGGUCAGCAGGUUCAAAUUGGUUUCACAGGCUCUUCAGAUAAUGGGGGUAUAAAUCAAGAAAGCAGUCAAAUUCAGAUCAUUCCUGGCUCUAAUCAAACCUUACUUGCCUCUGGAACACCUUCUGCUAACAUCCAGAAUCUCAUACCACAGACUGGUCAAGUCCAGGUUCAGGGAGUUGCAAUUGGUGGUUCAUCUUUUCCUGGUCAAACCCAAGUAGUUGCUAAUGUGCCUCUUGGUCUGCCAGGAAAUAUUACGUUUGUACCAAUCAAUAGUGUCGAUCUAGAUUCUUUGGGACUCUCGGGCAGUUCUCAGACAAUGACUGCAGGCAUUAAUGCUGACGGACAUUUGAUAAACACAGGACAAGCUAUGGAUAGUUCAGACAAUUCAGAAAGGACUGGUGAGCGGGUUUCUCCUGAUAUUAAUGAAACUAAUACUGAUACAGAUUUAUUUGUGCCAACAUCCUCUUCAUCACAGUUGCCUGUUACGAUAGAUAGUACAGGUAUAUUACAACAAAACACAAAUAGCUUGACUACAUCUAGUGGGCAAGUUCAUUCUUCAGAUCUUCAGGGAAAUUAUAUCCAGUCGCCUGUUUCUGAAGAGACACAGGCACAGAAUAUUCAGGUUUCUACAGCACAGCCUGUUGUACAGCAUCUACAACUUCAAGAGUCUCAGCAGCCAACCAGUCAAGCCCAAAUUGUGCAAGGUAUUACACCACAGACAAUCCAUGGUGUGCAAGCCAGUGGUCAAAAUAUAUCACAACAGGCUUUGCAAAAUCUUCAGUUGCAGCUGAAUCCUGGAACCUUUUUAAUUCAGGCACAGACAGUGACCCCUUCUGGACAGGUAACUUGGCAAACGUUUCAAGUACAAGGGGUCCAGAACUUGCAGAAUUUGCAAAUACAGAAUACUGCUGCCCAACAAAUAACUUUGACGCCUGUUCAAACCCUCACACUUGGUCAAGUUGCGGCAGGUGGAGCCUUCACUUCAACUCCAGUUAGUCUAAGCACUGGUCAGUUGCCAAAUCUACAAACAGUUACAGUGAACUCUAUAGAUUCUGCUGGUAUACAGCUACAUCCAGGAGAGAAUGCUGACAGUCCUGCAGAUAUUAGGAUCAAGGAAGAAGAACCUGAUCCUGAAGAGUGGCAGCUCAGUGGUGAUUCUACCUUGAAUACCAAUGACCUAACACACUUAAGAGUACAGGUGGUAGAUGAAGAAGGGGACCAACAACAUCAAGAAGGAAAAAGACUUCGGAGGGUAGCUUGCACCUGUCCCAACUGUAAAGAAGGUGGUGGAAGCCUUCUCUAACUACUGGAGCCCACAUUGAUGUCUCCCUGUUCAGAACACCUAUGGCAUCUAACAGCCAGCACUGCACCGUUUAGCACUGUUUGUCCUAUGGCAAUUUCACAUGCUACUGAGUAGGUACCAAUCUUGGGAAAAAGAAGCAACACAUUUGUCAUAUACCAGGAUGUGGUAAAGUCUAUGGGAAGACCUCACAUCUGAGAGCUCAUCUGCGUUGGCAUUCUGGAGAACGCCCUUUUGUUUGUAACUGGAUGUACUGUGGUAAAAGAUUUACUCGAAGUGAUGAAUUACAGAGGCACAGAAGAACACAUACAGGUGAGAAGAAAUUUGUUUGUCCAGAAUGUUCAAAACGCUUUAUGAGAAGUGACCACCUUGCCAAACAUAUUAAAACACACCAGAAUAAAAAAGGUAUUCACUCUAGCAGUACAGUGCUGGCAUCUGUGGAAGCUGCGCGAGAUGAUACUUUGAUUACUGCAGGAGGAACAACGCUUAUCCUUGCAAAUAUUCAACAAGGUUCUGUUUCAGGGAUAGGAACUGUUAAUACUUCCGCCACCAGCAAUCAAGAUAUCCUUACCAACACUGAAAUACCUUUACAGCUUGUCACAGUUUCUGGAAAUGAGACAAUGGAGUAAAUAUUACACAAAUACUUAUUCAUUGUGGUUAUUUUUAUACAGUAGUGAGAAGAAUAUUGUUCCUAAGUUCUUAGAUAUCUUUUUAUUGAUGUGCAAAAAUUUUUGGAUUGACAGUAACUUGGUUAUACAUGACACUGAAAUGCCUUACUUUGUAUGAUAUUCCAUAGUAUAUUAAAAAUGGUAAAAUUGCAUGGGUUUUGUAGGUACUUUUGGAAUCUAGAAGAAAUGAAAUUUUACCAAGUUAUAUAAAGAGAAAAUUGAAUUUAACAAUGCGAAUGGUAGUCUAACCAAAUGCAUCAAUCCUGUGUGGUUUAGUGUAAAAAUGAGAACAUGUUGGUAUUUAUCUAUUGUAAGAUAAAAGAGCUGGUGGGUGAAAGAAAUCAUGUUAUGAUAAAAAAUUUUGUAAUUUUCUUGAUGACUGGAAUUUUUAUUAUGCAUAACUGACAAAUCAAGUUUCCAAGCAAAUGUUACAUAGUGUAGGCUUUACUUAGCUUAUCAAUUUGUCAUUUUGAAGCUAAUUAUUUUAAUUAGGUUAACUAUGUACAAUAUUUUAAGCAUUACUCUUGUAAGAUUUUGAAAACUACAUUUUAACAUGGAACUCUAGGGAUAGUCACCUUUUAAAUCCUGUUGAAAAGCCAUGUUUAAGAUUUAAUUUGCCAAAAUAAUGUCUUGUUAAUAUUCUUUCAAUAACGAAGUUGGGCAAUAUAACCAAUGUUUAAAAAAGUUUAAAAUGUAUAAGUUGAGGCAUUUGGGUGGUAAGAGAAUGUUAUAGUGAAUUAUCCCUUUUCUUGACUAUUGGAGGACCAAAAAAAUAAGGUGUAUUGCGUCUUAGCAGUGAUUUUUAUCCAAUCUUGUUUCCAAAAACCAUGUCUCCCAGGGCCUUAAAAGCCAUCAUGUAAAUUACCAGUAAAGUAUAACAUAUGCAAACAUAACAAAAUCACUUCCAUAGUGACGAUACUCCAUAUGGAUAUUAGUCAUAGAAGAACUAGAGGUUUUAUGAUAUUUUUUUAAGUCUUUUUUUUUUGUCUAGGUAGUCAGUCUGCACUUAAAUAUCAAUCAUUUUCCUUUUUUGCUUCUUCCCUUAAAAUUUAUAUGUAUCCAGUACAUUUAAUUGAGAAACGUAUGUUUUUUAUUAUGCUGUAUUUUCUUUUUAUUUUUUAAUUAUUGUUUAUAUUUUCAAUUCAAAAAUGUACAAAAUAAAGUUACAUUGCUGGUCUUGUAAGAGCUAUACAGUUUUCCUAAAUGUAUACCUGUAACUGCAGCAGUUCACCUAUUUCAAAAAUUUGGAAUUCUGUUCAUUUGUUAUUCUUAAGACCACCUCAAAUUUAAAGGCUACCUUAUUGUACGUUUAAAGUGUAUUAUAACAGUGUGGUAGUUAAUAAAACACUAUUUUUUUUUCUUUUGA